rnacentral:rRNA from 1 species
AUUAGGCGUUAAAGAGCUCGUAGGCGGUUUGUCGCGUCUGCCCGUGAAAAGUCCGGGGCUUAACUCCGGAUCUGCGGUGGGUACGGGCAGACUUGAGUGAUGUAGGGGAGACUGGAAUUUCCUGGUGUAGCGGUGAAAUGCGCAGAUAUCAGGAGGAACACCGAUGGCGAAGGCAGGUCUCUGGGCAUUAACUGACGCUGAGGAGCGAAAGCAUGGGGAGCGAAACAGGAUUAGAUACCCUGGUAGUCCAUGCCGUAAACGUUGGGCACUAGGUGUGGGGGACAUUCCACGUUUUCCGCGCCGUAGCUAACGCAUUAAGUGCCCCGCCUGGGGAGUACGGCCGCAAGGCUAAAACUCAAAGGAAUUGACGGGGGCCCGCACAAGCGGCGGAGCAUGCGGAUUAAUUCGAUGCAACGCGAAGAACCUUACCAAGGCUUGACAUGAACCGGAACGGCGCAGAGAUGUGUCGGCCACUUGUGGCCGGUUUACAGGUGGUGCAUGGUUGUCGUCAGCUCGUGUCGUGAGAUGUUGGGUUAAGUCCCGCAACGAGCGCAACCCUCGUUCCAUGUUGCCAGCGGGUUAUGCCGGGGACUCAUGGGAGACUGCCGGGGUCAACUCGGAGGAAGGUGGGGACGACGUCAAAUCAUCAUGCCCCUUAUGUCUUGGGCUUCACGCAUGCUACAAUGGCCGGUACAAAGGGUUGCGAUGCUGUGAGGUGGAGCUAAUCCCAAAAAGCCGGUCUCAGUUCGGAUUGAGGUCUGCAACUCGACCUCAUGAAGUCGGAGUCGCUAGUAAUCGCAGAUCAGCAUUGCUGCGGUGAAUACGUUCCCGGGCCUUGUACACACUACCCGUCA